UCCCUGGUGGCUCAGAUGGUAAAGAAUCUGCCUACAAUGCAGGAGACCCAGGUUCAAUCCCUGGGUCGGGAA
rnacentral:tRNA from 1 species